rfam:Xenopus laevis strain J chromosome 3L, whole genome shotgun sequence.
AGCAUAUGAUGUAUUUUCUCACGAUGGUCUUCCAAGCUUCUGAGCUUUGACGAGACAGCCUAUUGGCUUUUCUGAUUGCUGAGCC